rnacentral:rRNA from 1 species
CAUGAUUGAAGCUUGCUUCAAUUGAUGGCGACCGGCGCACGGGUGAGUAACGCGUAUCCAACCUUCCGUACACUCAGGGAUAGCCUUUCGAAAGAAAGAUUAAUACCUGAUGGGAUUGCAUGAUAGCAUCAUUAAAGAUUUAUCGGUGUACGAUGGGGAUGCGUUCCAUUAGAUAGUAGGCGGGGUAACGGCCCACCUAGUCGACGAUGGAUAGGGGUUCUGAGAGGAAGGUCCUCCACAUUGGAACUGAGACACGGUCCAAACUCC